rnacentral:lncRNA from 1 species
ACUUUUUCUUCUAGGGAUUACAAGUACUCUCACACUCACCAAAAGCAAGGUACUAACUGACCAUCUUGUAUCUUUUGUCAACAGAGGAAAGGUAUACUUAAUUGGUAGUUUUAUGAUGAUGAUUGUUAUGGAAAAGGAGAAUGAGUUUUUGUGUAGUAAUGGAUCUUAGGCAUUACAGAUAUUUUAAAACUUCCAAUGAUUGUAGAAUCUUUCUCACCUGAAGUUUUAGCUCUCUGUCUUCUCUCACCAGACCCUUUCCUUCCCUCCAUCACUGCUGCUAUUUACAGUGAAAAGACCCCCAAAUAGGAUCUCCAUAUAGUUAAGAAUAUAGAUUGAUAAUAAUUUUGGGCCUUCUGUUUUUAGAAAUAAUCCAAAAUGAGUAGGCAGAAAUUAUUUCAUGAGCUAGCUUCUUAAAAGAAAAACCUAAAUUAAGUUGCACAUCUUUCAAUUAAGUAUUACUGAAUAUAGAACUUGGCUUCAGAGAUGUGGAUUAAGCCCUUGGAUUAGCUUUCUUUUUCUGGCUUCAGAAAUAGAAAUUCUAAGUCUAAGCAACACAGGAGAUAAAAACAUUUUGAGUUUCAUAAGUUUUAGUUAUAUUAUUUUCAGGUACUCAAAAAUGCCAAGAAUGAAUGCUGAUUCCAUGUUGCCCUGGAAGCCUGUUUUUUAAGCAGUGGAGGAACAGCUAUCAUGAGUUCUGGAAAGAUUUAGUCCCACAAUUUCAGCUUCAGUCCUUCCACUCUUCAUCAUGGAGCAUUCAGUACUAUCUCUGAAAAAUAGAGUUGUUCAAAUUUGAGGCCUUUAAAUGAAGUUUCAGGGAUUCUAUUUUGCUUGAAUAUUCUUCCCAAGACUUUGCAUUCCAAUUUGAGAAAGAUCUUGCAGGGGUGCUGUUCAGAUAUUAGAUACAGGCUGACCCAAGGUCAAGCUUUUGGCUAAAAAGACAGACAUAUUUGAAUGGAUACUUAAAUUUGUAUCGUUAUUCUUCGAUUGCCCUGUGAUUUGGAGAAUUUGUUUAAAAUGCACCUGAUUAAAGUUUCCUAAUACUGUGGCUGUAAGUUGUUAACCAUUCCAUAGAGACUUCCUGAAGAACAUGAUGGACUAUAGAUCAAACCAUGUUGGUUGAGCAGAAUCACAACUUCUAAUUAAAAGUUCUUUGAAUCCCCC